rnacentral:rRNA from 2 species
AACGCUGGCGGCGUGCGUAACACAUGCAAGUCGAACGAGAAUGUACUGACGGAUCCUUCGGGUGAAGAUAGUACAGGACAGUGGCGGAUGGGUGAGUAACGCGUAAGAAACCUGCCUUUCACACCGGGAUAGCAGCUGGAAACGGCUAUUAAUACCGGAUGACACUUUUUCCCCGCAUGAGGAAGAGGUUAAAGAAUUUCGGUGAAAGAUGGUCUUGCGUCUGAUUAGCUAGUUGGUGGGGUAACGGCCUACCAAGGCGACGAUCAGUAGCCGGCCUGAGAGGGUGUACGGCCACAUUGGGACUGAGACACGGCCCAAACUCCUACGGGAGGCAGCAGUGGGGAAUUUUGCACAAUGGAGGAAACUCUGAUGCAGCGACGCCGCGUGAACGAAGAAGGUCUUCGGAUUGUAAAGUUCUGUCCUGGGUGAAGAUAAUGACGGUAACUCAGGAGGAAGCCCCGGCUAACUACGUGCCAGCAGCCGCGGUAA